rnacentral:rRNA from 1 species
GUUAAGUGGGAAACGAUGUGGGAAGGCUUAGACAGCUAGGAGGUUGGCUUAGAAGCAGCCACCCUUUAAAGAAAGCGUAAUAGCUCACUAGUCGAGUCGGCCUGCGCGGAAGAUGUAACGGGGCUCAAACCAUACACCGAAGCUACGGGUAUCAUCUUCGGAUGAUGCGGUAGAGGAGCGUUCUGUAAGCCUGUGAAGGUGAGUUGAGAAGCUUGCUGGAGGUAUCAGAAGUGCGAAUGCUGACAUGAGUAACGAUAAUGGGUGUGAAAAACACCCACGCCGAAAGACCAAGGUUUCCUGCGCAACGUUAAUCGACGCAGGGUUAGUCGGUCCCUAAGGCGAGGCUGAAAAGCGUAGUCGAUGGAAAACAGGUUAAUAUUCCUGUACUUCUGGUUAUUGCGAUGGAGGGACGGAGAAGGCUAGGCCAGCUUGGCGUUGGUUGUCCAAGUUUAAGGUGGUAGGCUGGAAUCUUAGGUAAAUCCGGGAUUCUAAGGCCGAGAGCUGAUGACGAGUUAUCUUUUAGAUGACGAAGUGGUUGAUGCCAUGCUUCCAAGAAAAGCUUCUAAGCUUCAGGUAACCAGGAACCGUACCCCAAACCGACACAGGUGGUUGGGUAGAGAAUACCAAGGCGCUUGAGAGAACUCGGGUGAAGGAACUAGGCAAAAUGGCACCGUAACUUCGGGAGAAGGUGCGCCGGUGAGGGUGAAGGACUUGCUCCGUAAGCUCAUGCCGGUCGAAGAUACCAGGCCGCUGCGACUGUUUAUUAAAAACACAGCACUCUGCAAACACGAAAGUGGACGUAUAGGGUGUGACGCCUGCCCGGUGCCGGAAGGUUAAUUGAUGGGGUUAGCUAACGCGAAGCUCUUGAUCGAAGCCCCGGUAAACGGCGGCCGUAACAAUAACGGUCCUAAGGUAGCGAAAUUCCUUGUCGGGUAAGUUCCGACCUGCACGAAUGGCGUAACGAUGGCGGCGCUGUCUCCACCCGAGACUCAGUGAAAUUGAAAUCGCUGUGAAGAUGCAGUGUAUCCGCGGCUAGACGGAAAGACCCCGUGAACCUUUACUAUAGCUUUGCACUGGACUUUGAAUUUGCUUGUGUAGGAUAGGUGGGAGGCUUUGAAGCGUGGACGCCAGUUCGCGUGGAGCCAACCUUGAAAUACCACCCUGGCAACUUUGAGGUUCUAACUCAGGUCCGUUAUCCGGAUCGAGGACAGUGUAUGGUGGGUAGUUUGACUGGGGCGGUCUCCUCCUAAAGAGUAACGGAGGAGUACGAAGGUGCGCUCAGACCGGUCGGAAAUCGGUCGUAGAGUAUAAAGGCAAAAGCGCGCUUGACUGCGAGACAGACACGUCGAGCAGGUACGAAAGUAGGUCUUAGUGAUCCGGUGGUUCUGUAUGGAAGGGCCAUCGCUCAACGGAUAAAAGGUACUCCGGGGAUAACAGGCUGAUACCGCCCAAGAGUUCAUAUCGACGGCGGUGUUUGGCACCUCGAUGUCGGCUCAUCACAUCCUGGGGCUGAAGCCGGUCCCA